rnacentral:rRNA from 1 species
UACGUAGGGGGCAAGCGUUGUCCGGAAUUAUUGGGCGUAAAGCGCGCGCAGGCGGUUUUUUAAGUCUUCUGUUUAAGCCCGGGGCUCAACUCCGGUACGCAGGGGAAACUGGGAGACUGGAGUGCAGGAGAGGAAAGUGGAAUUCCACGUGUAGCGGUGAAAUGCGUAGAGAUGUGGAGGAACACCAGUGGCGAAGGCGACUUUCUGGCCUGUAACUGACGCUGAGGCGCGAAAGCGUGGGGAGCAAACAGG